rnacentral:rRNA from 1 species
UACGGGGGGAGCAAGCGUUGUUCGGAUUUACUGGGCGUAAAGGGCGCGUAGGCGGCCACCGCAAGUCAAUUGUGAAAUCUCCGGGCUUAACUCGGAAAGGUCAACUGAUACUGCGGGGCUAGAGUGCGGAAGGGGCAACUGGAAUUCUCGGUGUAGCGGUGAAAUGCGCAGAUAUCGGGAAGAACACCCGUGGCGAAGGCGGCUCUCUGGGACGGUACUGACGCUGAGACGCGAAAGCGUGGGGAGCGAACAGG